rnacentral:lncRNA from 1 species
GUCCUAUUGCAGUUUCAGCACUGUAGCAUUCAGCCUACCUUGGAGGCAUCUCCAGGGCUUUUCUAAAGGGGCCCCUCAAGUUCAAAGGCUGUAUUCUCCCAUUCCUAGUGCCACUCUUCCAUUUUUGUCGGGGGAUGUUUCCCUCUGCAGAUUUCUUGCAGCUUCAUGAGCCUUGAGGUGCCCCAGCAGUCCACCCCACUGCCACCCUGUCCUGGCUGGCCCUUCCUGGUCUCGCUUCCUAAUGCCUCUUUUGUUUGUCCCCCAGGAGUCAGAGAAGCUGGAGAGUGUGAACGCCGAACUGAAGGCCCAAAUUGAGGAGCUGAAAAAUGAGAAGCAGCAUUUGAUAUACAUGCUCAACCUGCAUCGGCCCACAUGUAUUGUCCGGGCUCAGAAUGGGCGGACUCCAGAAGAUGAGAGAAACCUCUUUAUCCAACAGAUAAAAGAAGGAACACUGCAGAGCUAAGCAGCAACUGGGAAUCCUCAUCGAAUACUCCUUUUCCACCUAAAACCCUGAAGCCAUUGGAAAGCUGACUUCCUGUGCACCUCUAGAAUCCCAGCAGCCGAGAACCACUGAGGCAGGAGGGCCCAUGGUGACUCGAGAGGGCCUUCCCACUCUGCUGUAGAGUGAACUUUGGACCAGGGCAAGAGCAUCCUUUGCCUCGACUCCAGGAUUUAGGCCUUGACGUACUGGCUGUUCUUAAAUGUUCCAGAUGGCCCCUGAUUAGGGUCCUGCCUGCUUUCAUGUGAGUUCUACAAGAACCAGGAUGCCCAUCAUUAGGAUUCAAGCAAAAGGGUCUGUACCUUGGAUGGGUGGAGUGGUGCCAUCUCCUCCACUUCAGCUGCCGCUGUUGCUCAUAGGGGACAUGGAGUGAGAACAACAUUUAUUGAAGUUGUGCAAUGGCCAGGGUUGUGCUUUCUAGAGAAUAUGCUGUUAUGUCCUGGAAUUACUGUGUGCAAGGCAUUCGUUUCAAAACUAGGCAUUAUGCUCUUUUGAUGUUUGUUUCGUACAACACUGGUGUGUGACUUUUCCGUGGUUUUCCUCAGAUCUGGUUUCUGAGAGUCUGGAGGGUCCCUCGCCAUGGGCAGUGUCUUACAAAAAUGUUCGGGUGGCCAGAAGCACUUGCCAGCCCCAGGAGAGCAGAGUCGUCUUUUGGCCAGCAGAGCAGGUCUGGGUCAAAGAGGAGGCCUCCUUUUCCCCUUGGCACCCAGGUGUUAAGGGGAAAUCCAUGGGCGUGACAGUGGGUCCUCUGUUGCAGGCUCAGUUACAAUGUCACAGGAAGAAUGCAGAAAGAAAGUGCAAUUUCCAAAGGGUUAGGACUAUCCACUCAGUGACUUUGUCAGGAGUUAUUUCUAGUGGAAGAGCCAAAGAAUAUUCCAUUUUCCUUUCCUUGUGGUUAAAAUCUGAUCAGUGGAGACGCAGGUUUGAAGCCAGGGGAUACCCAGGCUUUAGCCUUAUUGGAUGUUAAUGGCACUGUUUUGGUCAUGUAUCUGUUUUAAGAAAUCUGGCCCAGAGCAUUUGCAGCUGCGAGAGGUCACUCACACUGCCCACAAGGACUCUGGCUACUGUCUGAUAAAAUUCUGAUGUUUCUGUGAAAUCCUCAGAGUGUUUAACCCUUCUUAAUAGUAUCAUUACAAUUUUUUUCUGUAAGAGAAAAUAUUAUUUAUCCUAGUAUCCUUAACCUGUCAAUAUAAUAAAUCUUGGAACCAAGAUAUGGUCAACGUUAAGUGUUAUACUCGUUUCUGUGGUUUUUUUUGUUUUUUUGUUUUUUUAGAUUCUUUGUUGUUGAAAAGGUUACCCCUACCCCAGCCACACAUACCUCUCUUCUCCUCAUUGUGGGAGAUGAUUAGUUUUGAAUAUUAUCCAAGUGUCCUCCUCCUCUGUCUUUGGGCUCCAAUAGGUAGGUUAGUUGACUUUCAGUCCUCUUCCUCAGAUCUCUUAUUGAUAAUCCCUGGAACACAGCACCUAGUUUAUCCUAGUUAACUGGUGCUAACAUAGAAGUUAGAUAGAUUUAAAAUCUGAGUUAUAAGUACCUCAACCAUCAGUUUCUCUGAAUGUACAAAUGCAUAAAACACAUUUCUUGUUCAACUUGAGCCUUUGAAAACUGACCUGCCACAGCAUUCUUCUUAAAGUAUCCACUUGAAUUAUAUCUGUUAUAACAUCCAAAUGUGUGUCACAAUGUGACAACUAUGUAUUUUAAAGAUCAGAAAAGAAUGGGAAGGGGGAUAGAGAGGAAGAAAGAAUAAUUCUGGACAAGAUGGGUAUGAUAAUUCAGAGAAAGGUAUUCUACCCUCAUUUUCUGCAACUGCCUGGACACAUAUAAUACAGACUAGAAAUAAAAAUCAGCCACUCUGCUACCUUCACUAGGCUCUUUUCCAAAGAGAUGCUGACGUCAUUAACUGUGACAUUGGUCUACAUGAAUGGUACCUCUGCUUCUUUGAACUAUGUGUGGUUCCUUUAGACUAUCACUUAUGACAAAGGCAUCUUAGUUUGGCUGAUUUAAUGGUACAUCAGGUUGUUCCUCAUCUUUGGAGAACCAUCUGAUGUUAGUACUUUCGCCACUUCUUUCACUAGAUAAUUUAUGCUUGCCUUGGUGGAGGGGAAAACUCCCCUGCAUUUACCCUCUGGUUAUGGGUAAAGGUGCCACCACCAGCUGUUAGGAAACUCAAGAUAAUUUGCAAACUGCCAUGAAUGCAAUAGAUUAGAAAGAAAGGGAGAGAGGGUAGCCAUGACAGGAGACAUUGAUCUGAGAAUCAUACUGUGUGUGGUUAGUGUGAUUGAAAAUUCUUA